GCUGGGAAAUUCACCUGUCGGUAUCUGCCGUGGUUUUGUUACCGGGGAGGCUGAACGUGGCUCGAGAAAAAUCUGACGAUCGGCCGGCCAGCCGCGGCGAGCUUCACUCAUCACCGAACGCCGGAGGAGAAUCGAGAGGCGUUGCAUCGCUCCGAGAAAUUUGAUGGAAUAACAUCGAACAUAUCACAGCCCCGUGUAGUGGCGCUGCCCUUGAUCGUGUGUCUAACGGAAAUGCUCGCGUCUGUCGGACAAACGGAGUGUUUCUUCACUUUCGGCAGUCGCAACGUUCCGAAAAAUACUUCGGACUGAUCAAUCGCGUUUCGUACGUCGUAGAGGAUUGUCGAAGGUGCGAGAAUAAUCGCCGGUAAUUAUCUUCUGUGAUUCGGGGCUGCGGAUGGUGAAUGUCAGCGACAACACAAAAUGGCCGACUGCAGCUGCGGCGUACUUCACUCACAACAAGACGCCAAACCGAAGAGAACGCGACACGACGCAAUAACGUGAACAAGGGGACACGUUCAGCGAUUAAUUGUGGCACCAGUUCCGAGAUUCCGAGCUUCGAAACGCCACAGAAAC